rnacentral:rRNA from 1 species
AACGCGAAGAACCUUACCUGGGCUCGAACGGCUCACGAAAGUCCUUGGAAACAGGGAUUUCCCGCAAGGGACGGGAGUCGAGGUGCUGCAUGGCUGUCGUCAGCUCGUGUCGUGAGAUGUUGGGUUAAGUCCCGCAACGAGCGCAACCCUUGUCCUGUGUUACCAUGCCGAAAGGCGGCACUCGCAGGAGACCGCCAGCGAUAAGCUGGAGGAAGGUGGGGAUGACGUCAAGUCCUCAUGGCCUUUAUGUCCAGGGCUACACACGUGCUACAAUGGGCGGUACAAAGCGCUGCUAAGCCGCAAGGUGGAGCCAAUCGCAAAAAGCCGCUCUCAGUUCGGAUUGCAGGCUGCAACUCGCCUGCAUGAAGCUGGAAUCGCUAGUAAUGCUAUAUCAGAACGAUAGCGUGAAUACGUUCCCGGGCCUUGUA